AGGAUUAUUUCCUUGGGUCAAUGUAGCUGCGACAAAUGAAUCACACAUAAUGUAUCCCAAAUGAUCAAGCUUGUAAAGUUUGAAGCCAUACAUGAACACCUGUAAAUCCUGGAUGUCACUACACAUGUAGACAAUGGUGUUUUCCUUUUCACAUGCAUUGUUUAUAUAUUAUACCCAUGCAAUAAAUGUAUCUGUACAUGUAAUGGUACAUGUAUAUACAAUGUA